rnacentral:rRNA from 1 species
ACUCAAAUGAAUUGACGGGGACCCGCACAAGCGGUGGAGCAUGUGGUUUAAUUCGAAGCAACGCGAAGAACCUUACCAAGGCUUGACAUGGAGAUGAUCGCGCUAGAGAUAGCGCUUCCUACGGGCAUCUCACACAGGUGGUGCAUGGUUGUCGUCAGCUCGUGUCGUGAGAUGUUGGGUUAAGUCCCGCAACGAGCGCAACCCUUAUUUUUAGUAGCCAUCAGGUAACGCUGGGCACACUAGAGAGACUGCCGUGGAUAACACGGAGGAAGGUGGGGACGACGUCAAAUCAUCAUGCCCCUUAUGUCUUGGGCUACACACGUGCUACAAUGGCUGAUACAAAGUGACGCAAACCCGCGAGGGCAAGCCAAUCACAAAAAAACAGCCUCAGUUCGGAUUGUAGGCUGCAACCCGCCUACAUGAAGUUGGAAUCGCUAGUAAUCGCGAAUCAGCAUGUCGCGGUGAAUACGUUCCCGGGUCUUGUACACACCGCCCGU